rnacentral:rRNA from 1 species
CCUAUGGGAGGCAGCAGUCGAGAAUCAUUCACAAUGGGGGAAACCCUGAUGGUGCGACGCCGCGUGGGGGAAUGAAGGUCUUCGGAUUGUAAACCCCUGUCAUGUGGGAGCAAAUUAAAAAGAUAGUACCACACGAGGAAGAGACGGCUAACUCUGUGCCAGCAGCCGCGGGAAUACAGAGGGCUCAAGCGUUGUUCGGAAUCACUGGGCGGAAAGCGUGCGUAGGCUGUUUCGUAAGUCGUGUGUGAAAGGCGCGGGCUCAACCCGCGGACGGCACAUGAUACUGCGGGACUAGAGUUAUGGAGGGGGAACCGGAAUUCUCGGUGUAGCAGUGAAAUGCGUAGAUA